rnacentral:rRNA from 1 species
GACAGAGGGGGCAAGCGUUGCUCGGAAUUACUGGGCGUAAAGGGCGCGUAGGCGGAAUGGCAAGUCGGUCGUGAAAUCCUUCGGCUCAACCGAAGAACGUCGAUCGAAACUGCCGUUCUUGAGGAGUUGCAGAGGAGACUGGAAUUCCCGGUGUAGCGGUGAAAUGUGUAGAGAAGUCGGGAGGAACACCGGUGGCGAAGGCGGGUCUCUGGGCAAUUCC